rnacentral:lncRNA from 1 species
GGAUGAGUCACGGAGAGCUAGUGUAGCAGGACGAGUUGCAGACAAAACUCCUCAGACACCAGAUUAAAGAAGGAAGAGGUUUUUUUAUUCAGCCAGGAGCGUUGGCAGACUGGUGUCUUAAGAGCCGAGCUCCCGGAAAAAGAAAUUCCUAGCCCUUUUAAGGGCUUACAACUCUAAAGGGUCUACGUGAAAAAGUCAUAAUAGAUCAAGUAAGCCUGAGGAACGUGACUGGGGGCUACAAACAUCAGCUAACAGAACAAAAAGUUUUUACAGUGCUUUCUCAUACAAUGUCUGGGAUUUACAGAUAACACAGGUAGUUUUGGUCAGGGGUUAAUAUUAUUGUUGUUUUAACCACCGGGGCCAGGUGGUGGCGCCAAGGUCGUCUAGCUAUUUAUUUUACUUCUGUUUUUUCCAACUUUUUGCUUUCUCCCUUUUUUGCUGUCUUACAAACUAGGGAAAAGGGGAGGUUGGGGAGAAACUGGGAAGGACAACAGGAGAAGUGGUGGUCUCAUACCAUAUUUCCCCCCUUUGAGCAUUUUCACUUUUUAGUGGGAGUUCUCACUCUCAUCUUUACUUUUUGAGUCUAUUUGUGAGAUAGAGCGAUAGUGAUUUAUAUAACACACGUGUGCUGAAGUUUUCUGAUGAACCAAAGUAGCUACAAAACCUUUGAUCAUUUGAAAAAGCAAGGGUAAUACACAGGGGAGCAGCAAGCAAGUUCCUAUCACUAGCAAUACACCUACAAUGAGGGUUUUAAAUCCUCUUAUAGCUGGAAACCAUUUUUCAAAUAAAGACUCAGGAUUAAACUCGUGCCAAACCUGUACAGGCACAUGUGCCACCUUUGUCAUGUCCCUGACUAUGUUUUUAACCACCUGUCCUUGAUCAUUUAUUUGUAGGCAGCAAUUGGUUAAGUUAAAUUUUCUACAAACUCCUCCUUCAGCUACUAGCAAGUAGUCUAAGGCCAGUCUAUUCUGAUAGAUAGCAUUCCUCAUUUGGGUUUCUUGCCAAGCUAAAACAGUCAAAGCUCUGCCAGUUUCAUUAGAAAUUAUUUCUAAGAUGACCUGCAACCGUAUGAUCCAAUUGAGCAUGUAGAUGGGUUCGGUAUCCCCAUGAGCCAUCUUGUGCCCAUGUGGCAGGCCCAUAAUACUGAAUGAUCCUUUCACGGGGCCACUCAUUAUCUUUCCAGUUUCCUAUAACUAUGCCUUUCUUUUCUCGGGAGGCGUAGACAGAGAAACCUAGCAGCUCACCCAUUUUUAUGGGUAAUAAGAAAAAGGAUGGCUUAAUAGUGCCAAUAACACAACUGUCUGCCCAUUUAUUAGGUAACCGAAAGUAGGCUCUGUGCCUACAUAUCUAGUAUAGUCCAGAGGGAACUGUCCAGUCCUGAUGAGAUUCUGGAUGAGCCUAAGCAGUUUUUAAUUUAGAAAAUUUACUAAAUGGAUUCUUUUCAGUGUGGUUUAGGUCCUACUAAGUAAUUGUCUUUGUUGUGCUGUUAUACAACUUCUGUCCUAUACAAUUAGGCUUUCCUACAGGGAUGAUAAAGUCUUUCCCUUCUCUAGCUAUACAGUAUUGUCUAAUAAUUGAGGUUUUUAGGACCUAGAAGUUGCUAGCUUCGGCCUUCUAAACUGGAAUUAUAUCAGGAGCUGGAUCAGUAGGCACCAACUCUCGGGCUUCCCAAGGCCAUCUGUCUCCGAUAGUGGUUCCUCCGCGUACAUAACAAGAAGUAACAUUAAGUAAGAAAAUUACAUUUUCUGCUAAUUGGAGAAACAAAUUUUUUGUCUUUUUCAGAAGUUCUGGUGCUGGCAGAUUCAGCUCCUCAUAAAAGGUUUGAAAUACUGGUUUGGGAGAGCACUUGUGGACCUCCCCUCUAAUUAAAAUGACAACUUGAGGGUUUAACCCUGUCCUAUUGAUCCCCAGGGUUACACGUUCUCCCUUUUUCCAAUGGGGAUCUAGGGGAUUGGUAAUUAUUAGUUCUAGUGGGUUACAGUGACCGGCAGCACAGGAGGGGUUGGCUUCCCCCUUCUGAAGAUAAACCGGGUCCUUUUUGUUCUUUUUUAAAGUAGCCUAAAUAACACAUGGCCAAUAGGCACAAUUUUUACAAACCCCUGACUCAUGACAAACAUUUAUUUCUACUCUUUAGCUCCUUUCUCAGUUAAGAGAACCACAUCCUAUUUCUAGCUUUUUACUAUUAAUGGCUGCACAAGCAUCAAAUCUUAAAGUUAUUUGCUUGGGGAUUUCUUUUUCUUCUGUUCUAGUUAUUAUUUUACUUGUAUCACCUAGGAAAAGGCCAGUUCUUAUUCUUAUUUCAAAAACGGUGGUGCAGGGGGCUCAGAUGGGUUAUAACACACAUCAGGUCGGUCAUUUCUCGGGCUACAUACCUUGUACUGAGUGGCAUUAUACAAACAAGUUUCUCUUAUUGUUUCCAUACAUUCAUAAUAACUAUAGAACAGAAAGAUUGUUUUAAUUUGCUGUCCUGCUUCGGUGACCUGAUGAAUACACUGGGAACAGUCCCCAGUUUGAGUAAGGUCAGUUGAAGCCCUUACUGUAUAAGUCCAAAAUUUAAGAAAAAUGAAUCUCAUGAUGAGCUUCCUCAGGCUUCGGCCGUGCUUGGACUAGUCAGCUUCCGGGUGACUGGAGCAGGGCUUGUCAUCUUCUUCAGGGUCACUCUGCAAGGGUUAUCUGGGCUUGGUCUUGCCUCCCAGGUUUCAGGCGCUGCAGGUUUUAUAUGGCUGUGUUGGAUCCAGGCUGGGAUUCCUUCCACCUUCACAGCGGUGGGAGUGCUCAGGACGACAAUCUGGGGUCCUUUCCACCGUGGACACAAACAGGCAACUUUCCAGUCCUUGAUCCACACUCGAUCAUCUGGGGAGAAUGGGUGAACUGGGGAGAAUAAGCUAACAGGGCAUCUCUCAUUUACCCAGGCUGAGAUUUUUUGUGUAACUUUUCCUAAGGCCUGUAGCUGUCGCUGUAACUCAAUUUCACCUAACUCUCAGGGAGUGCCUGGAAGUCCCCGCAAUAUAGGAGGGGGCCUACGAUAUAAUAUUUCAUAAGGGAAAUAUCCUGUUCUUUUAGAAGCGGUACAUCUAAUUUUAAAUAAUACCAUAGGGAGAGCCUGUAGCCAUUUUAAUCCUGUUUCCUGACAUACUUUCCCUAAACUAUUUUUGAUAGUUUGAUGCAUUCGCUCCACCUUUCCGGAACUCUGAGGCCACUAGGCAGCAUGCAGUUUCCAUGUGAUCCCUAAUAUCUUUGCCGCCUUCUGUACUAAGUCAGCCACAAAUGCUGGCCUGUUAUCUGAGCCGAUCCCUAAGGACAGUUCAAAUCUAGGAAUAAGAUCUCGAAGAAGCACACGGGUUACUUCACGAACUUUCUCAGUUCGUGUUGGAUAAGCCUCCACCUACCCAGAGUAGGUACGCCCAAGAACUAGUAAAUACUUGUUACCUCUACACUUUGACAUCUCUGUGAAGUCCACCUGGAGAUCUUCAAAGGGGGCUGCUCCAUAAGCUUGUAUGCCGGGUGGAAUAGCUGGACCUUGCCUCGCUUUAUGCUGUCGGCAGGUAACACACCACUGCGUCACCGUUUUGGCAAGAGCUGACAAAUGCGAGAUGUAGAAAUACCAGCCUAACAACUUUUCAAGUGAUUCCUGGCCUAGAUGGGUGGCUUCUUGCACAGCCAGUACAACUGCAGCUCCUAGCAGCUGUGGCACAGCUACUCUCCCAUCCGGUAACCGAAUUCAUCCUUCCUCCAUCACUUGUCCUCUCUCUGCCUGGAGAAAGUCCUUUUCUUCUUUAGAAUAAGUAGGUACAAGAUCAGGUACUUGAGGGAGCAUGGGGGCUGUGACUGAUGCCCGGAAGGGGGCAGAUGCUGCUUUUCGAGCCUCUAAGUCAGCGCGGGAAUUCCCUAAACCCACCAAGGUGGAAGCUCGCUGGUAUCCUCUGCAACGCAUAACUGCCACCUUGUGGGGUCUCCAUAUGGCUUUUAAUAAUUGCAAGAUUUCUUGUUGAUAUUUUAUGUCUUUUCCCCCAGAGUUCAAUAGGCCCUUUUCUUUAUAUAAUGCUCCACGCACUUGAAGGGUUGAAAAGGCUUAAUGAGAGUCAGUGUAAAUGUUGACAUUCUUAGCUUCAUUGAGUUCUAAGGCCCGAAUUAAAGCAAUGAGUUCAGCUUUCUGAGCUGAAGUGCCCUGGGGAAACGAUCUGGCUUCAGCAACAGUGUCUAGAGUUACCACCGCAUAUCUUGCACAUCUCUCUCCUUGUGGGUUGAUGAAGCUGCUCCCAGCCACGUAUAGUUCCCAGUCUACUGAUGCCUAAGGCUGGUCCUGGAGGUUAGGUCUGCUAGAGUCAACUGAGUCCAACACUUCUAC